CACAAGAUAUUUUCCUGGUGCUAUAAUCAUAGCACCGGGAACUGUGCUCUCCCCUCGUGAGCUUGGAGCGUUGCUGCACUUAUCACAGCAACGCUCCAAAUCUCGCAAGAGUGAACUCUAGCAGUUCCUGAGGCUGCUAGAGUUCACUCUCACCACUGGGACCACUACAGCUUGCCAAACGGACCACCAGGGAUUGCAGGAAAUGUACCCCCUCCUAGACAAGUAGGUAAGGUAAGCAGGGAGGGG